UACGUAGGGGGCUAGCGUUGUCCGGAAUCAUUGGGCGUAAAGCGCGUGUAGGCGGCCCGGUAAGUCCGCUGUGAAAGUCGGGGGCUCAACCCUCGAAAGCCGGUGGAUACUGUCGGGCUCGAGUGCGGAGGAGGAGAGUGGAAUUCCUGGUGUAGCGGUGAAAUGCGCAGAUAUCAGGAAGAACACCCGUGGCUAAGGCGGCUCUCUAGUACGGUACUGACGCUGAGACGCGAAAGCGUGGGGAGCGAACAGG
rnacentral:rRNA from 1 species